UUAACUAUUUUAUAGUACUCAGACAAUAAUAAUUACAGAUUUUGGGGCUAUUGGUAGGUGCUCUCCAGCCGAAGCCGGUGCUCACGCAAAGCGCUCGCGACCCACCAAAGCAACAAGUGAAUAAUAAUCAAGGGUGAGAAGGACCGGUUUCCCGGCUUCAUUUUUAAUGAUCCUUCCGCAGGUUCACCUACGGAAA
rnacentral:misc_RNA from 1 species